GCUUCCACACAGAAGCUGGCUCCUCUCCUGCCAGCUCAGAGCUCAGGCAGAGUGAACAUGUGAGCAUGCAUCCAUCUGCCCAAAGUCUCUCAGAUUUCCAUGAAGGGAGUAGUUUUGAACUGCAUAGUACUCACCUGCAUGGAAAAAAAGAGUCAACCCCAGCCUCUGAGAACUGUAGUCUGAGGGAAAUCCUAGAUAUGCAGGAGAAGUUAAUGAAGCUGUGAGGCUAUGAUGGAGUGGGUGCUGCUAAUCUCAGAGUUACCACCUACACAAAAAGACUUUUCCUCUGCCAAACACCCCCAAUGCCAGUGACUUCAGUGGAGUCUACAAGUACUUGGCUUGUCAGAAAUAUGUACCAAAAAGUACCCGAAUUGGCCAAUUAUAAAAUUUGCUGCUACUACUCUGGCUGUGGCUUUUGUAAUUAGUUUCAAGACAGGCAGUUUCUGAUACUGAGUUACUUCUGACUGUGUACAUGAUGCUGAGUGGGUAGCACCAAUGUAAAUCAUCAACCCUGCUCUCAGCAGGGAUGCUGUUGGCGUUCCUCACUGGAAUGUGCACUG